rnacentral:rRNA from 1 species
AUUGAACGCUGGCGGCAGGCCUAACACAUGCAAGUCGAGCGGAUGAAGGGAGCUUGCUCCUGGAUUCAGCGGCGGACGGGUGAGUAAUGCCUAGGAAUCUGCCUGGUAUUGGGGGAUAACGUCCGGAAACGGGCGCUAAUACCGCAUACGUCCUGAGGGAGAAAGUGGGGGAUCUUCGGACCUCACGCUAUCAGAUGAGCCUAGGUCGGAUUAGCUAGUUGGUGGGGUAAAGGCCUACCAAGGCGACGAUCCGUAACUGGUCUGAGAGGAUGAUCAGUCACACUGGAACUGAGACACGGUACAGACUACUACGGGAGGCAGCAGUGGGGAAUAUUGGACAAUGGGCGAAAGCAUGAUCCAGCCAUGCCGCGUGUGUGAAGAAGGUCUUCGGAUUGUAAAGCACUUUAAGUUGGGAGGAAGGGCAGUAAGUUAAUACCUUGCUGUUUUGACGUUACCAACAGAAUAAGCACCGGCUAACUUCGUG